CAACAGAAGGGUGCACACAUCC
rnacentral:miRNA from 1 species